CUUACUUAUUACUACAAUAAUUGAUAGGAAAAUGGACUUGUUGCAAAUACAACAAUAACAACAUAUUCAGUGUACUCUCACAAAGUGGGGUCUGAAGGGGGUAAAGUGUACGCAGUUUAUACCUUUACCUCAUAUGAAGUGAAGAGUUUGUUUUCAAUAGACUCCCGACUCAGAAAAGUUACAGAUAUAUUGAUAAUUAUAUUAAUUAACUUAUAACAUGUUUGAUCAAGUUUGUAAAAAGAUCAAGAAUGCUUAUGUCUUAACAUGAAAACAUUACAUCUUUUAGAGAAUAAUGAUAGUCUGCUAAGCUUUUGUGAAGAAAUAAAAGUAGUGAAGUAGUAGUAGUAGAAGUUGCUUUAUACCUCUUAAUUAAGAGCGAAAAAGGUAAUUUCUCCAAACAAGAAGCGCUUUUGAUUAUUUUUUUUAAGGUUAACUCCAUGUAAAAAAUUCAUAUAUAAAAGAUUCAUAAUUUUUUAAGGAUAAGAUUACUAUAUAAAAAAUUCAUAAUUUAACACUUAAAAGUUUCUUUUUUUUUUCUUUCAAGAUAUUGAUCAAACUCAAGCUAGUUUUUUUUUUUGGUUAACAAACUCAAACUAAUUAGUACUCUGUCAAUGUACCUUUUCAGAAAAACACUUCCUAUAAAAAUUAAAAGACUUCCUAAAAUAAACUACUUUCAAUGCCUUGGCCAAAUAAUCAGUUAUGCUCUUAGUUUCAAGGAAUGUCAUUUUAGAAAGGACAUCAUAUUCUAUUUCAAAUCUAUGCAAAAGUAGAUUAUGAGCAUUGUUGUUUCUAGUUAUAAGCAUUCUACUUUGACCAAGUACACAGAGUCGGCAACAUUCUCCUAAUUGGUAAAUGUUGACCAGAAAAUAACAGCACAAAAUCCUCUCUUUUUCUCAUACAAAUUAUUCUUAUUCACACUUGUAUGUCCUAUAAAUAUACAUGAUUUCACCAAAGUAUCAGACACUCAAGAAAUUACUUAAUUAAAAGCAAUUAUUUUGAGCUCAUUCCUGCAAUUAAGUUUUUCAAUUAAUCAUGGCCAAGGGUAGCAACAAUUCAAUCAACUGCUACUUCAACGUAGCCUUAGUCCUCACUUUUCUUCUCAUUCUGACACCAUCUAUGGGAAGAGUUUUCAUAUCUAAUAGCGAGGCAUCUCAGGCCAUUCCAACUUGUACGACAAUUUAUAACGUAGAUACUGGUGACACUUGCAACAAUAUUAUCAAGUUGUUCGAUCUGAGAGCAAAGGACUUCAGUUCUUUAAAUCCAAACCUUAACUGUGACGAUCUUUUCGUGGGUGAAUAUGUCUGUCUCAAUGGCACCUUAUCUGCUUGAAUCCAAGUCAUGAUGGCCAUGCAUCAAUAUAUUGUACUACAUUAAUUAUAAGUGCAUGCACUCUAGUCUUGGAUGCCAAAUUAAAUCUCUUAAUUCGAGUUAUGAGAUCUACUACUAUAUAUUUGGAUCACUUUAACUAUCCAAUAUGUUAGACCAAGAAAUUUACUUGGUUAUGUUGUAUUAUCAGUUAUCAAGUGAUAUUGUUUGUCUUUUAUUGAAGUUAUAUGUUGGUUA